GACGAACGCUGGCGGCGUGCUUAACACAUGCAAGUCGAGCGGUAAGGCCCUUCGGGGUACACGAGCGGCGAACGGGUGAGUAACACGUGGGUGACCUGCCCUUCACUCUGGGAUAAGCCUGGGAAACUGGGUCUAAUACCGGAUAUGACUCAUGAUCGCAUGGUUGUGGGUGGAAAGAUUUAUUGGUGGGGGAUGGGCCCGCGGCCUAUCAGCUUGUUGGUGGGGUGAUGGCCUACCAAGGCGACGACGGGUAGCCGGCCUGAGAGGGCGACCGGCCACACUGGGACUGAGACACGGCCCAGACUCCUACGGGAGGCAGCAGUGGGGAAUAUUGCGCAAUGGGCGGAAGCCUGACGCAGCGACGCCGCGUGGGGGAUGACGGCCUUCGGGUUGUAAACCUCUUUCGGCCCCGACGAAGCGAAUAGUGACGGUAGGGGUAGAAGAAGCACCGGCCAACUACGUGCCAGCAGCCGCCGAGUAAAC
rnacentral:rRNA from 1 species